rnacentral:lncRNA from 1 species
CUUGCAUAGAAAAGAAUGUUUAUCCCACAGACUCUUCCUUUUUCCCAGCAAUGUUCUCAGGAUUGUAUUUGUCUCUGCCCUAAUUGACCCCACCCCUCACCCUGUAGUCUUUUCCUCAAUCCUCAAUUCUGGAGUUGCAUAGAGUAAAAUUGGGUCUGAACAGACAGGAAUGUGGAACUCUACGUUCCAGUUAGUUAGGGAGUGUGAUCCUGGGAGCUCCAAUGUAUAAACAUCCUUCCCAAGCAAAUAAACUGUCCCAUGGCCAUGCUGAGCUUUGCAACCUGACUCCCCAAAGGACUGUUUAUGUAGCCUGUGGGUAUGUGCUGUGUUCUUCUGGCCUCACACUCACCAAGGGUGUAUUGGCUUGAGGAUGGGGGCUUGGGGAUGGGGGCUGACAUUGGUUUCCACUUUGGGCUCUGUGGAGAGAGAGGAGCUGCCCUAGAGCUCUUCCCAUGGAGUCAAAAGGCUAAGAGACUGCCUUUCCUCUGCCUUCCUGAGUGGCAAGGUAUGCCAGUGAGAAAAAUGAUGUUCUGGCCUUGGAACCACCUCCCAUGGGACCAGAUGCCAAGAUGAAUCCAAUGGAAUCUGAUCUGGAACCACCCCCAGGAGGUCAGAAGUAAUUUCCUGGUUUGAUUCCUGUCCAGAGAAAGAACCUACAGGAGCUAAGAACUAUUUCAGGGCUGUUCCAGCCAUUCUAUUCUACUUGGAGAAGAGUCUGGGUGUCUGGUUCAACUUGGAAUCAUCCCCAAAUGGGACCCUUAUUUCUGGGGAAGCAUGAACUUACUUUUUUUUUUUAACCUUUAUCUUCCAUCUUGGA